UGGGGAAUUUUGGACAAUGGGCGCAAGCCUGAUCCAGCAAUGCCGCGUGCAGGAUGAAGGCCUUCGGGUUGUAAACUGCUUUUGUACGGAACGAAACGGCUCUGUCUAAUACAUGGGGCUAAUGACGGUACCGUAAGAAUAAGCACCGGCUAACUACGUGCCAGCAGCCGCGGUAAUACGUAGGGUGCAAGCGUUAAUCGGAAUUACUGGGCGUAAAGCGUGCGUAGGUGGUCGUUUAAGUCUGUUGUGAAAGCCCUGGGCUCAACCUGGGAACUGCAUUUGUGACUGUAUAGCUAGAGUACGGCAGAGGGGGAUGGAAUUCCGCGUGUAGCAGUGAAAUGCGUAGAUAUGCGGAGGAACACCGAUGGCGAAGGCAAUCCCCUGGGCCUGUACUGACGCUCAUGCACGAAAGCGUGGGGAGCAAACA
rnacentral:rRNA from 1 species